UUUCUUAUACCAAACGAGCUACGAAGAAAGAGAAAAUCGGUAAAAACUAUGAUAAAUCAAGACAUUAUCACAAGUCAUUUAAAUCAAGUGGUCGUGGAAUCUUAUAAGGCGGAGAGAGUCCAAAGAGGCAUCUUUGUAGAUAAAUCCUAUCGAAUGAAUACCUUAAAACCCUCUAAACUAUCACGUUUUUUGUCAGUUACUUACUUAAAUUAUUCGGUGUUUCUAAAAUCCCCCAAAUUAUAUAUACCUAUAUAUUAAAAAAUUAGAAAAAAAGGUAUGAUAUAUUCCUUUACUAUUACAAAUUAUUUAAAAUUAUCCCUAUUAUCUGUCCUUUCGGACAGGGAUAAGGCUCGUCUACAUAUUACCCUCCUCAGAGCCCACCUGGUGGGAAUAUACUGGGUAGUUGUUGUUGUUGUUGUUGUUAUCCCUAUUAUACUAUCGGAACAUAAAAUUCCUUACCGUCUUACUAUCCGCACAUAUUUAUCCUUAAGUAGACGGAGGGGAUACGUGACACUCAUAUGUGCCUUUUUUACAUCUGGUAAUAUUAGACUCGACCCCAUCCAUAUUGCCGCUUACCCAAACUCGUAAAAACCAACAAGCAAAUCCAAGAAUUUUAGUGGGAUCCGGCGAGGUUCUAUUUUCCCCCGAACUUCAAAAAAUACAAAAGCUCUGAGUUUUUAGAUCCAAUAAAUUGGACAGAAGAAAAUGAAGGAAGGGGGUAAGGCAAGUGGUAUUUUUUUAGUUUUUGAAAAAAAUAACAAAAGUAAGGUAGUGGUGUUUUGGUCAAGAUUUGUAGGAGAUCUUGCCGGUUUUCAUGGUGGUUAUAAAAUGAAUAAGGAAAACAAUGAGAGAGAGUUGAGAUAGUCAGUGGUGUUGGCUUUGUGAAUUUUUCGGCAAGUUUCACUGGUUUCAUUUGCUUAUUUGGUAGAACGGGGUUGCUGUUUGGAUGAUGGAACACGAAGAAAAAGAAGAAUAGUUUUUGAGUUAUAUUUUACAGGUUUGGGUAUCGGGUAAUAUGGUAUCGAGUCGAGUCUAAUAAUACCAGAUAUAAAAAGGCACAUCCCCUCCGUUCAGUUAAGGAUAAAUGUGUGCGGAUAGUAAGACGGCAAGGAAUAGUCUGAUAGUAUAACGGGGACAAUUUUAAAUAAUUUGUAAUAGUAGAGGAAUAUAUUAGACCAUUUUCCGAUUAAAAAAAUUUUUGUCGAAUUUUUUA
rnacentral:lncRNA from 1 species